UACGGAGGGUGCGAGCGUUAAUCGGAAUUACUGGGCGUAAAGCGUGCGCAGGCGGUGAUGUAAGACAGGUGUGAAAUCCCGGGGCUCAACCUCGGAACUGCAUUUGUGACUGCAUCGCUGGAGUGCGGCAGAGGGGGAUGGAAUUCCGCGUGUAGCAGUGAAAUGCGUAGAUAUGCGGAGGAACACCGAUGGCGAAGGCAAUCCCCUGGGCCUGCACUGACGCUCAUGCACGAAAGCGUGGGGAGCAAACAGG
rnacentral:rRNA from 1 species